CCCCCGCGCCGCUGCUCCCGUGAGCACCUUUUUUCUCUCUCGACAAUCCACUAUUCCUAUUCAUUCAAAUGUUUACUAUUCCAAUAUUCUACCGUCUCUUAUUUCGUUUUGUUGAUU
ensembl:ncRNA ZC64.10 ncRNA